rnacentral:rRNA from 1 species
GACAGAGGAGGCAAUCGUUUUUCGGAAUCAUUGGGCUUAAAGCGCGCGUAGGCGGCCUUGUAAGUGUCUUGUGAAAUCCCACGGCUCACCCGUGGAACUGCAGGGCAAACUGCAAGACUUGAGGUCGGUAGAGGCGCCUGGAACUCUAGGUGGAGCGGUGAAAUGCGUAGAUAUCUAGGGGAACGCCGGAGGCGAAAGCGGGGCGCUGGGCCGAUUCUGACGCUGAUGCGCGAAAGCGUGGGGAGAAAACAGG